CGCAAACUGCUCAAUGCCGGGCGCCCCCCCAGGAGGAAGGCAUUCCCCGGGGCAGACCUCAGGCUUCAUCACCGAACCGCGGGGGGCCACCAGGAUACGAUCCCCUGGUGUUCCCCCCCCGAACCGAGUUCAACCGGGUGGUGGGUCCUCCCUGACCCAGUACCGAAGCUACCGCGCAAACUUGGCCGCCUGGGGAGUCCGGCGCCCAAGGUGAAAACUCAAAGGAAAUGGCGGGGACCCGCCCAAGCGGGGGAUGAUGUGGUUUAAUUCGAUGCAACGCGAAAAACCUUACCCACCUUUGACAUGUACGGAAUCCUUUAGAGAUAGAGGAGUGCUCGAAAGAGAGCCGUAACACAGGUGCUGCAUGGCUGUCGUCAGCUCGUGUCGUGAGAUGUUGGGUUAAGUCCCGCAACGAGCGCAACCCUUGUCAUUAGUUGCUACAUUCAGUUGGGCACUCUAAUGAGACUGCCGGUGACAAACCGGAGGAAGGUGGGGAUGACGUCAAGUCCUCAUGGCCCUUAUAGGUGGGGCUACACACGUCAUACAAUGGCUGGUACAGAGGGUUGCCAACCCGCGAGGGGGAGCCAAUCCCACAAAGCCAGUCGUAGUCCGGAUCGCAGUCUGCAACUCGACUGCGUGAAGUCGGAAUCGCUAGUAAUCGCGGAUCAGAAUGUCGCGGUGAAUACGUUCCCGGGUCUUGUACACACCGCCCGUCACACCAUGGGAGCGGGUUCUGCCAGAAGUAGGUAGCCUAACCGUAAGGAGGGCGCUUACCACGGCAGGGUUCGUGACUGGGGUGAAGUCGUAACAAGGUAAAUGCAGA
rnacentral:rRNA from 1 species